CAUCUCUGGUUCCUCUUGAUAUUGAAUGAAUAUUUUGAUUUUUACUAAAAAUUCCAAUGAGGGAAAUAACUUCAAGUCUUACGUUAAUUGUUUGAGGCCUUGCUCUUAAGGAU
ensembl:snRNA U5 U5 spliceosomal RNA